UCUCCGUAGGUGAACCUGCGGAGGGAUCAUUACUGAGUGAGGGCCCCCGGCCCGACCUCCAACCCUUUGUGUAUCUCGACCCUGUUGCCUCGGGGGCGACCCGGCCUUCGGGCGUCGGGGCCCCCGGUGGUCCAUCUCAACCCUGCAUCUGUGCGUCUGAGUAAAUAUUUGAAUCAAUCAAAACUUUCAACAACGGAUCUCUUGGUUCUGGCAUCGAUGAAGAACGCAGC
rnacentral:misc_RNA from 1 species